CUAGACCUGAAAUCAGUCGAGGUUACCCGCUGAAUUUAAGCAUAUUACUAAGCGGAGGAAAAGAAAAUAACUAUGAUUCCCUCAGUAACGGCGAGUGAAGCGGGAAGAGCUCAAAGUGAAAAUCGCUGUUUCUUUUGGAACUGCGAAUUGG
rnacentral:rRNA from 1 species